UACGUAGGGUGCGAGCGUUGUCCGGAAUUAUUGGGCGUAAAGAGCUCGUAGGCGGUGUGUCACGUCGGCCGUGAAAACCUGCAGCUUAACUGUGGGCUUGCGGUCGAUACGGGCAUCACUGGAGUUCGGCAGGGGAGACUGGAAUUCCUGGUGUAGCGGUGAAAUGCGCAGAUAUCAGGGAGGAACCGACCGGUGGCGAAGGCGGGUCUCUGGGCCGAUGACUGACGCUGGAGGAGCGAAAGCCGUGGGGAGCGAACAGG
rnacentral:rRNA from 1 species